UUAUGCAUUGGGCCUUGUGUCCUGGAUUUAGGCCCAAUAUUGGCCCAUUGGUAGCACUGCACUUCCUGUAUGGCGGGAAAGUUGGCGGCAAUCAUCUCAUCUGUGGUUCUCCUAACAAUUAGGCAUUGCAGAAGUAACUAAUCUCUUCUUCAAACCCUAACUAACGCUUCACCAACACAUAAUCAAUAAGAAACUGAUUCUUAUUCCAUUGUUGUCUCCAUCUCAAUGCUAGAUCAACCUCUCAAUCUCAGAGACAAUACUGAGAUUAGGGUUUUAAUGCCGCUCUCUCCCUCAUGUGUGCUUCACUGCGCCACAGGGGUGCCCUCUUAUUUGCUAUUAUGUACUGCUGCUAGAUUCAUGGUUUCAGCUUCCCGCUGUAGAUAUUUGGUCCUGUCAAUGCUUGUUUUGAAUGUUAAAUCAACUGAUAGAAGAACCACUGCUGCCUGUCCAGACGAUUCUCCCUUAACGACCAUGAGUUAACACUGAUAUUUGCUGCUGGUGGAUUUUUUUCCCGUUGCAUCUACCAUCUAUCAAUCAGGACUGGUGCCAUCCGCUCUUCUUCUGACUCUUGAAAGUGGAAGUUCAAGCUUUAAAGCUCAUCUUCCAGCAUUUGCUGUUCAAAAGGAUCCCCAAUUCUUCCAUCAAAUAUUCAACUUUUUCCCGGAUACUCAGGUUUAAAUACCUACAGAUUUGCUGUUUGCUUACUGGCUUCAUAUAAUUCAGAAAACACUAGUUUUCUCGACGAAUGGCAUAAGACUAGCUAAAGAGGGUCAGUGAGACUUAUCAAAUGUGUGAUCUUAUCAGCUCUUACUACUCUCAUAGAGCUUAAUAGCAAAAAUGAAGGCUUUACUCUUUCUUAUUCUUAGGAGAAUCACCCCACUCCAAAAUAGCUGCAAAGCUGGCAUCCUGAUCUGCGAUCACUAGUGAUUCCAAUGAAUUAAAGGCUGCGAAGGGCUGACAAUUUGGCGAAACGAAGACUAGAUAUCUCCUUAAGCGAGAUAUCUUUAACUCCUUAGUUCCUUAGAAAAGGAUAAGAAGGGAGAAGCACGAAAAACCCUAGCUUUCUGUCAAUCCUUAGCUCCAACUUGCAUCAGAUCCUUUUGCCCCAUACUCGAUAGUUGGCAAAGAACUAUACCAGUUUUCAGGACCGGAGCUAUCAACCACUCAGCCAUCUCUCCUUAUCAAUGCAAACUGCAAAGAGUGUGUUGAGAAUAUAUCAUGUUCUCCCCCAUUGUAAAAUUGUUCAUUAAAUGUAAUGGUAGAACUGUAGAAACAUAACUUUGGUUGUU